AUUGAACGCUGGCGGCAGGCCUUACACAUGCAAGUCGAGCGAGAAAGCCCUUCGGGGUGAGUACAGCGGCGGACGGGUGAGUAACGCGUAGGAAUCUACCCAGUAGUGGGGGACAACUCGAGGAAACUCGAGCUAAUACCGCAUACGCCCUACGGGGGAAAGCGGGGGACCUUCGGGCCUCGUGCUAUUGGAUGAGCCUGCGUCGGAUUAGCUAGUUGGUGGGGUAAAGGCCUACCAAGGCGACGAUCCGUAGCUGGUCUGAGAGGAUGAUCAGCCACACUGGGACUGAGACACGGCCCAGACUCCUACGGGAGGCAGCAGUGGGGAAUAUUGCGCAAUGGGGGCAACCCUGACGCAGCCAUGCCGCGUGUGUGAAGAAGGCCUUAGGGUUGUAAAGCACUUUCAAUUGUGAGGAAAAGCUGUUGGUUAAUAACCAGCAGCCGUGACGUUAACUUUAGAAGAAGCACCGGCUAACUCCGUGCCAGCCGCCGCAGUAACAC
rnacentral:rRNA from 1 species